UGCUUCAUAUGCAACCGCAUUUAGUCUCCCAAUAAUGUGACUGCCAUAUUUUAUUACUGAUUUGCAGCACUAGAAGUUGUUUUUGUAUCUGAAUUUUCAGGUAAUACUUGGAGGUUAUAUUAAACUAUUAGAGAGAUCGUUUUAACUGGGCAUUUGCAACUUGAUAUAUGCUCUAUAUAUCCAUGUUGCAUAUAAACUUAUGAGGAAUGCCCACUAACUUAUUACAUAUUCAUUUAUGAUUGGAUACAACUCUAAAUCUACAAAACAUAAAAGAAGGAAACAUGCUGUAAAAACUGUACCUUCUUAUAGUACUUACUUUCUACACCACAUCCGGAAUAUGUUAAUUCUUAUCAUAUCUUUUUUUAAAGUUGGGGAAUACCCUAUUAUUUUUUAUGGACUUUUACUAAUAUCAAGAUAAAAAAAAGUUAACUUGUUUAUCGUUAUAAAUGAUAAGGAAAUUAACAAUUUUGUUUUCGUUUUAGUAAUUAAAAAAAUAAAUGAAUUAGGAGAAAAGGUAUUAUUCAAAAAAAUAGUUUUAAAUGAUUUUACAUUAAACUAUUUUAAGAUAACAUUAACAAUGCCCGCCUAAGAUCUAUUUUAUUAAUAAACGUUAAUAAUUUGAGCGAAAUA